ensembl:lncRNA
AAGUCCCUUGGUUUGUUCAAAUAAACACUUUGCCUGGUCACUGUGCCUAUCUCCCCACAGAAGUAGAAAUACUGGACUGGAGCACAUUUGGAAGGCUGACCUGGAGACAUGCCAACUUCUUCCACAAGGUUGUGAGCUACAUGCCCUGAGCUGUUCUAAAACUGAGGAUCACCUCCCUACUCCAGCACCACGUCACAAAGCUCUGCCAUUCGCCAAGUCUAAAGCAGUGUGUGCCAUGCUCACUGCUCUGGGAGAAUUCUGUAGUCCUGAAGUGAACCUGCAACAAUCUGAAUUCACUAAGGAUCUAUGCAGUGAGGGAAUGGACCUGACAGAACAUUGUAAGUUCAUCAGUAAAAGGCUGCUGUCUUUGGAAGAGCAUCUACAAGCUGCCAUGCAUAACUAUGAUCAAGAUCUCACUACCUUAGAAAAGGAAGUACAGGAGGUAAAGACCACUCUACAAAAGAUGUUAUCUCAACUCAAGGAAAAUAAUGAAGAUGAAGAGGAACAUCCAGCUUCAGUGUCCAGCAGUAGUCUGCCAACACCAUUGGGGAUCCACUUUCCUUGGUACAUAUGAAUAUAAAAAAUAAAAACUAUGGGUGAUGGAAUAAUUCUGAAUCAAAGCAAU